rnacentral:rRNA from 1 species
UACGGGGGGGGCAAGCGUUGUUCGGAAUUACUGGGCGUAAAGGGCUCGUAGGCGGCCAACUAAGUCGGAUGUGAAAUCCCCAGGCUUAACCUGGGAACUGCAUCCGAUACUGGAUGGCUUGAAUCCGGGAGGAGGGAUGCAGAAUUCCAGGUGUAGCGGUGAAAUGCGUAGAUAUCUGGAGGAAUACCGGUGGCGAAGGCGGCAUCCUGGACCGGCAUUGACGCUGAUGAGCGAAAGCUAAGGGGAGCAAACGGGG